rnacentral:rRNA from 1 species
UACGUAGGGUGCAAGCGUUGUCCGGAAUUAUUGGGCGUAAAGAGCUCGUAGGCGGUUUGUUGCGUCGGCUGUGAAAUCCCGAGGCUCAACCUCGGGUCUGCAGUCGAUACGAGCAAACUAGAGUGUUGCAGGGGAGACUGGAAUUCCCGGUGUAGUGGUGAAAUGCGUAGAUAUCGGGAGGAACACCAGUGGCGAAGGCGACUACCUGGCCUGUUUCUUGACGCUGAGGCGCGAAAGCUAGGGGAGCAGACGGG